AAAGUCCCUGUCAGGUAAGGUCUAACCAACCACCUGUAUCGAGUGUUGCGCCGAUGCUGGUGACAGCAAAGGUGAAGCGUACACAGAGAAUCAUAUAGGCCAUAAGGGAGACCGUAAUCCCUGAAGAAUAUUGAGCCCCGUAAAUCGUAUACCUAGAAAUAGGAAAAGUGCAGAUGACGACGUGUUUAACGUCACGGAAGUCAAUACAAUAGAAUCGUUACAGGUGAGAUUCUGAAGGAUCUGUCGGGGUCCUAGAACG
rfam:Clostridium formicaceticum strain ATCC 27076, complete genome.